GUGCUCGCUUUGGCAGUACAUAUACUAAAAUCAGAACAAUACAGAGAACAUAAGGAUAGCCCUUGUGCAAGGAUAACACACAAAUUUGUAAAGAAUUCCAUAUUUUU
rfam:Erinaceus europaeus unplaced genomic scaffold scaffold00544, whole genome shotgun sequence